GCUCAGCACAGAAUAUUUCACUUCCUUUCACCCUUUUUGUGCCGAAACACCUUCUUACUUUCUUUCUGAUGCUUUCCCUGCUUGGACUCAUUGCAUGCUUUUUGUUUGGGUUUUUCCCACUCUGACUUCUGAGCAACCUCCUUUGAGGUCUGACCAUCUCAGUUUGUGUUGUUAGCAGGUUUGCAGUCCUUGGGUGUUUCUUCAGUGCGCUGUCUCUUCAGAGAUUCACCCGGAGGAUGGUGUGUAUUGCUAUUCCAGGAGGACAGCCAUGAGGUUAUGAUAAUUGGUCACCGAAUUCAAAGCUCACUGAGUUUGAUGCCAGAUAGGCAAAGACCAGCCGGUGAGAGGCAACAUGCAGCUGCACUCAGAAAGGAUAUAGGAGAGAAAACGAAACAAUGUGCUGAUGCUGGUCUGUACCCAGUGGGCUUAUGGAAAAGCCUGCAGGAAAAAGUCACUGCCUCCAACCCUACCUGUGUCAGGUCUUCAAAACAUCACUGGGCACCCAUCAUGUCCCCUGCAUUUCCACGGCAUCAAAAAACAAAGGCAUGGAGCCAACCCCCAGUAAAGUCAGUUGAAGUUUCCCUAUCAACUUAAGGUGGACCUGCAUCAUUAUUACAAGCAUCAUCCCUGGCUUUCUGGAAGCUACUUGUUAUUUUCUUAACAGCCAGCAGGCAAAUUGAUUUGCACAGAAUUUAUAACAAAG
rnacentral:lncRNA from 1 species